rnacentral:rRNA from 1 species
AUGAACGCUGGCGGCGUGCUUAACACAUGCAAGUCGAACGAAGCACUUUAUUUGAUUUCCUUCGGGACUGAUUAUUUUGUGACUGAGUGGCGGACGGGUGAGUAACGCGUGGGUAACCUGCCUUGUACAGGGGGAUAACAGUUGGAAACGGCUGCUAAUACCGCAUAAGCGCACAGCAUCGCAUGAUGCAGUGUGAAAAACUCCGGUGGUAUAAGAUGGACCCGCGUUGGAUUAGCUAGUUGGUGAGGUAACGGCCCACCAAGGCGACGAUCCAUAGCCGACCUGAGAGGGUGACCGGCCACAUUGGGACUGAGACACGGCCCAAACUCCUACGGGAGGCAGCAGUGGGGAAUAUUGCACAAUGGGCGAAAGCCUGAUGCAGCGACGCCGCGUGAGCGAAGAAGUAUUUCGGUAUGUAAAGCUCUAUCAGCAGGGAAGAUAAUGACGGUACCUGAGUAAGAAGCACCGGCUAAAUACGUG